rnacentral:rRNA from 1 species
UGGGGAAUAUUGCACAAUGGGCGGAAGCCUGAUGCAGCGACGCCGCGUGGGGGAUGAAGGCCUUCGGGUUGUAAACUCCUUUCGACAGGGACGAAGCUUUUGUGACGGUACCUGUAUAAGAAGCACCGGCUAACUACGUGCCAGCAGCCGCGGUGAUACGUAGGGUGCGAGCGUUGUCCGGAAUUACUGGGCGUAAAGAGCUCGUAGGUGGUUUGUCGCGUCGUCUGUGAAAUUCCGGGGCUUAACUCCGGGCGUGCAGGCGAUACGGGCUGACUUGAGUGCUGUAGGGGAGACUGGAAUUCCUGGUGUAGCGGUGAAAUGCGCAGAUAUCAGGAGGAACACCGAUGGCGAAGGCAGGUCUCUGGGCAGUAACUGACGCUGAGGAGCGAAAGCAUGGGUAGCGAACAGG